AGGCAGCGAUUGAGAAAGUCUCUAAAUAUGGGCGAAAGCUUCUCCGGGUUCUGCAGCUCAGGCGUGCCAUUGGUGGCAAUGAGAUACAAAGCCUUAAAGAGACCGGAAGAGAAGAGAAGGUUGGCAGAAGCUGGGGCUAACAGCAGAUGCUCACUCCACUCCUCAGAUUCGAACCUGCAAUCUUUCGGUCCACAAGUUCAGCAGCUCAGCGCUUUAACACGCUGCACCACGGGGGGCUCCCCUAUACUAGUUAUUUGUUAUGUAUAUAAUUGAGACUGUUUACUGUAUUGUAUGUACCCUGUUUCCCCGAAAAUAAGACAUCCCCAAAAAAUAAGACCUAGUAGAGGUGUUACUGAAUUGCUAAAUAUAAGGCCUCCCACGAAAGUAAGACCUAGCAAACUAUUUGUUUGGAAGCAUGCCUGGCGCCGCCAAACAAAACACCAUAGCAUGCAGGAUUGGUAAAUGUGCAUACCAGUUGUAUAUGGAAAUAAUGGUAGUAACAAGAAAUUCUUGACAGGAGUCACAGUUUGUCUGGUUUGGUUAUGUUGGUUUGUGAUGACAACUAUUGUACAGUAUAGAAUAAAUGUUCACUUUUUUGUUCAACAAUAAAUGUGAAUUCUUCUUCAUGGAAAAAUAAGACAUCCCCUGAAAAUAAGACCUAGCGCAUCUUUGGGAGUAAAAAAUAAUAUAAGACACUGUCUUAUUUUCGGGGAAACCCGGUAUAUAUUGGCAUGCAGUUUUUCCUUUAACUCUGUGUUGUUUGCGGUUGUGGGAGGGACUACAGACCAUGUGACCAGAUCUGGGACUAUUCAGACUGAGACUCAUUUUAGAAGUCAGUUCAGUUGAGUAUAGUAUAGUAGUCAGUAUGCAUCAGUCAAUCAGUACAGUAUGUAAUUGAGUGAAGUAUGCUGCAGAAGUCAGUCAGUAUACAUUAGAAGUUAGUUGAGCACAGUAUGCAUCAGAAGAGUGUUUGUCUGUAUACAACACAGAAGAGACUGAAACAUAAUGCUUAAAGAAGUUUAAAGACUGUUUAAACUUUGAACCAAUAAGCAAUGUACCUAUAUGCCGAAUACAUGAAGGUUUCUAAGUAAAUCAACUAUGAUAACUUUUAA